rnacentral:misc_RNA from 1 species
UAUGAAGAACGCAGCGAAAUGCGAUAAGUAAUGUGAAUUGCAGAAUUCAGUGAAUCAUCGAAUCUUUGAACGCACAUUGCGCCCCUUGGUAUUCCGAGGGGCAUGCCUAUUCGAGCGUCAUUAUAACCCCUCAAGCUCAGCUUGGUGUUGGGGCCUGCUGCACUGGCAGCCCUUAAAAUCAGUGGCGGCGCCAUCUGGCUCUAAGCGUAGUAAUUCUUCUCGCUAUGGAGUCCUGGUGGAUGCUUGCCAUCAACCCCCAAUUUUUCUAUGGUUGACCUCGGAUCAGGUAGGGAUACCCGCUGAACUUAAGCAUAUCAAUAAGCGGAGGA